rnacentral:pre_miRNA from 1 species
GAGGUACUCCCUCCGUUCCGAAUUACUCGUCACAGAAAUAGAUGUAUUUAGAUGUAUUUUAGUUCUAGAUACAUCCAUUUUUACGACGAGUAAUUUGGAACGAAGAGAGUAGUAU